rnacentral:rRNA from 1 species
UACGUAGGGCGCAAGCGUUGUCCGGAAUCAUUGGGCGUAAGGAGCUCGUAGGCGGCUUGUCACGUCGGGUGUGAAAGCCCGGGGCUUAACCCCGGGUCUGCAUUCGAUACGGGCUAGCUAGAGUGUGGUAGGGGAGAUCGGAAUUCCUGGUGUAGCGGUGAAAUGCGUAGAUAUCUGGAGGAACACCGGUGGCGAAGGCGGCAUCCUGGACCGGCAUUGACGCUGAGGCGCGAAAGCCAGGGGAGCAAACGGG